rnacentral:rRNA from 1 species
CCUACGGGAGGCAGCAGUGAGGAAUAUUGGUCAAUGGACGAGAGUCUGAACCAGCCAAGUAGCGUGAAGGAUGACUGCCCUAUGGGUUGUAAACUUCUUUUAUAUGGGAAUAAAAUGUUCCACGUGUGGGAUUUUGUAUGUACCAUAUGAAUAAGGAUCGGCGAACUCCGUGCCAGCAGCCGCGGUAAUACGGAGGAUCCGAGCGUUAUCCGGAUUUAUUGGGUGUAAAGGGAGCGUAGGUGGAUUGUUAAGUCAGUUGUGAAAGUUUGCGGCUCAACCGUAAAAUUGCAGUUGAAACUGGCAGUCUUGAGUACAGUAGAGGUGGGCGGAAUUCGUGGUGUAGCGGUGAAAUGCUUAGAUAUCACGAAGAACUCCGAUGGCGAAGGCAGUUCACUGGACUGCAACUGACACUGAGGCUCGAAAGUGUGGGUAUCAAACAGGAUUAGAUACCCUUGUAGUC